UUGUGGAGGAGGACGCCGAAGGUGGGGCUAAUGACUGGGGUGAAGUCGUAACAAGGUAGCCGUACCGGAAGGUGCGGCUGGAUCACCUCCUAACAGGGAGACAACAAAAUGUUUAAUAUUAUUAUUUUGUCACCUUAGGUCGAUCGGUAUCUCACGUUCUUAAUUUAUUAAGAAUUUUAUUUCCUAAGUUUUUCUAGGUCACACCCAUUAUUUUUCCUGGGCCAUUAGCUCAGGUGGUUAGAGCGCACCCCUGAUAAGGGUGAGGUCCCUGGUUCAAGUCCAGGAUGGCCCAUAUCUCUAUGUUGGGGGUAUAGCUCAGUUGGUAGAGCGCCUGCUUUGCAAGCAGGAUGUCAGCGGUUCGAGUCCGCUUACCUCCACUGAUUACCACCUCUUCCAUAAUUUGAAGAAAGGAAAUGUUUUGAGUUGUGAUCAAAUUCUGAACGAAUCUAGCCUCCUAAUAAAUUCAUUAAGAUGCUGGACUCAUUGAAUUAAUUUUCAUUGUUUUCAGAGAACCUUGACAACUGCAUAGAUUAUUUUUAAAGACAAUAAGCAUCUUUAAUGAUGCAGAUUUAUUAUUUGUGCUAAUGCAUUAAUAACAAUUCUAUUAAGCUGAUGCUUCAAUUUAAUGAAGUUAUUGGUCAAGCUACAA
rnacentral:misc_RNA from 1 species